rnacentral:piRNA from 1 species
UAACAAAAGUACAAAAACCAUGUAACACAA